CUUACCUUCCAAUCCCUGUGGGUGAUGCCAUUUUCAUCUAAAAAAGGGCAGAGCAUUAUAAAUGACGUUCGUCAAAAGCAGAAAAUUCUGAAUGGAUGAAUGAAUGAAUAAAACGUACCUCGAUUAUCGCCUUCAGAACCAUGCCAGCACCUUUCACAAUUGUUGUCGACGGAUGCUGAAAUUGUUAAGGAACGAAUUUGAAACCACGAUUGUUUUAUCGUAAACCUACCUGGAACAAUCGAGAAAUGCAAU